rnacentral:rRNA from 1 species
CAGUAGCCGCGGGAAUACGAAGGGGGCUAGCGUUGUUCGGAUUUACUGGGCGUAAAGCGCACGUAGGCGGACUUUUAAGUCAGGGGUGAAAUCCCGGGGCUCAACCCCGGAACUGCCUUUGAUACUGGGAGUCUUGAGUUCGAGAGAGGUGAGUGGAAUUGCGAGUGUAGAGGUGAAAUUCGUAGAUAUUCGCAGGAACACCAGUGGCGAAGGCGGCUCACUGGCUCGAUACUGACGCUGAGGUGCGAAAGCGUGGGGAGCAAACAGGAUUAGAUACCCCAGUAGUCCCUGUCUCUUAUAA